GACGAACGCUGGCGGCGUGCUUAACACAUGCAAGUCGAACGGUGAAGCUCCAGCUUGCUGGCGUGGAUCAGUGGCGAACGGGUGAGUAACACGUGAGCAACCUGCCCCUGACUCUGGAAUAAGCGCUGGAAACGGCGUCUAAUACUGGAUACGAGAAGUUUCCGCAUGUGCACUUUCUGGAAAGUUUUUCGGUUGUGGAUGGUCUCGCGGCCUAUCAGCUUGUUUGUGAGGUAAUGGCUCACCAAGGCUACGACGGGUAGCCGGCCUGAGAGGGCGAACGGCGACAAGGGGACUGAGAGACGGACCAGAAGGCUACGGGAGGCAGCAGUGGGGAAUAUUGCACAAUGGGCGAAAGCCUGAUGCAGAGACGCCGCGUGAGGGAUGACGGCCUUCGGGUUGUAAACCUAUUUCAGCAGGGAAGAAGCGAAAGUGACGGUACCUGCAGAAGAAGCAACGGCUAACUACGUG
rnacentral:rRNA from 1 species